ensembl:lncRNA
GAUUUAUAUGAAGUCUGUAUGGCGUUAAGAGCAGCCGUAGUCCCAGCAGUCUGGAAUUAAAGAAGAUUUGAGCUCCAUCCAGAGGCAGAAAGGAUCUGGAUCUCUAGUAUCUCCAUAAAUUCGUGUGGGGCUCGGCGAAAGGAGAGAGGGAGAAAAAAGAUAAUUAUGACUGCGAAGUAGUAGAACAGAAUCUAGUCAGGGUAGGCUUGAGUAAACAAAUAUGUUUUAAGCUUAGACUUAAACACUGAGACUGUGUCUGAGUCCCGAACACUAAUAGGAAGACUGUUCCAUAACUGUGGGGCUCUAUAAGAGAAAGCUCUUCCCCCUGCUAGAAAGCUCUUCCCCCUGCUUUAGCCUUUGCUAUUUGAGGUACUGUCAAAUAGCCUGCAUCUUUUGAUCUAAUUAGGCGUGGUGGAUCAUAGAAAACCAAAAGUUUGCUUAGAUACUGUGGCACGAGACCAUUUAGUGCUUUAUAAGUUAAUAAUAGUAUUUUAUAAUCAAUGCGAGAUUUCACUGGGAGCCAAUGCAGUGUUGAUAAGAUCGGGAUGAUGUGGUCAUAUCUUCUGGUUCUAGUUAGGACUCUAGCAGCUGCAUUCUGGACUAACUGGAGUUUGUUUACACCUCCAGUUAGUUUGUUUGCACCUACUGGGACAUCCAGACAGUAUGGCAUUACAGUAAUCUAGUCUAGAGAUGAUGAAAGCAUGAACUAAUAUUUCUGCAUCAUGUAGUGACAAUAUAUUUCUUAUCGUAGAAAUAUUUCGGAGAUAAAAGAAGGCUAUCCUAGUAAUAUUAUCUAUAUGAACAUCAAAUGAUAGACUGGAGUCAAUAAUUACUCUAAGGUCUUUUACUGCUGUACAUGAUGAAACGGAAUGUCCAUCCAGAGUUACUGUGUGAUCAGAAAGCUUACUUCUAGCUACCCAUGGUCCUAGUACAAGUACUUCUGUCUUAUCAGAAUUAAGUAAAAGGAAGUUAAUAAGCAUCCAACGUCUAAUGCCCUUUACACAUUCCUCAACUUUACUAAGCUGCUGUCUGUCCUCUGGAUUUGCUGAAACAUACAACUGUGUAUCAUCAGCAUAACAGUAGAAGCUAAUUCCAUGUUUACGAAUAAUUUGAC